rnacentral:rRNA from 1 species
UACGAAGGGGGCGAGCGUUGUUCGGAAUUACUGGGCGUAAAGGGCGCGUAGGCGGCCGAUCAAGUCAGAUGUGAAAGUCCUGGGCUUAACCUGGGGACUGCAUUUGAUACUGAUUGGCUUGAAUGCAGGAGAGGAUAGCGGAAUUCCCAGUGUAGAGGUGAAAUUCGUAGAUAUUGGGAAGAACACCGGUGGCGAAGGCGGCUAUCUGGACUGU